CGUGGAGCAAGCCCCGAACAAAGGCAGGGGUCCCAGAAGGAAAAGAGAAAUAAUGGGGAAGAAGAAUUCACUAACCUGGGAAAGGAAAUGGACAUCCAUGUCUAAAAAGCACCGACUGCCACAAAUCAAAUGAACCCAGGGAGAUCUGCACCACAACACAACUGACAGCAGAGGCAAUAGCCUCUUGGAGCCACGAGUAAAAAGUCAAGAGAAUAAAAAGACAUCAAC